rnacentral:rRNA from 1 species
UACGUAGGGUGCAAGCGUUGUCCGGAAUUAUUGGGCGUAAAGAGCUCGUAGGCGGCUUGUCACGUCGGGUGUGAAAACUCGGGGCUCAACCCCGAGCCUGCACUCGAUACGGGCUAGCUAGAGUGUUGCAGGGGAGACUGGAAUUCCUGGUGUAGCGGUGAAAUGCGCAGAUAUCAGGAGGAACACCGGUGGCGAAGGCGGGUCUCUGGGCCGAUACUGACACUGAGGAGCGAAAGCGUGGGGAGCGAACAGG